UCCUCGCUUCACGGUUUGGCACUUGUGAAGCCGGCAGCGCUCCUUGAUGCGCGCACGAGCACCGAGGGAGAGGCGCGAGGGAGACCCGGCAGAAAGGGACGGUCUUCCUGCGGCGGAGCGAGAGUCGCGGGUCUCGGUCUGCGCCCUGUGCCUCGGGCCUUCGCCCUAUCUCGUACCUCACAGGGGAGACCGCGGCUCUCCUCGGGACGUCCCCUAAGGAGAAGUACUGCGAGUGUGGGUUGACAGUGGGAAGUUCCUGUCCCACUAAAAUGGCUUUUCUGAAACAAACACGGAUUGAACUGUAAAAGAAUCAAAAAUCCUCUGUCCUCUGCUGUUCUGAAGCAUAUUUGCUUUUAGUAUUCAGUCCAACACACAGAAUGAGAGGAUUUCCCAGCUGGCUUUGUUACAACAUUAAGCCUUGUAACAUACCCUGGGGUCACUCCCGAGCAAAAAAGAAGGAGUUUGAAAGAAAACAUUGAUUUCCAAGGGCAGCUCGUUCCAAGGAUAGUUCCUGCACAGAAACAAAGCCUACGAAAACACCAGUUGCAAGUCAGUCCUUAAGUUCUGGUUUCCGUACUGAAUGAUCUUACCAUGUCAGUGCUGGAGGAAGGUCAAGCCCAAGUUACUUUCUCGCUGAUACUUUGCUGAUGUUCCUCCAACCCAGAAGUAACAAGGUGCCACAGCUAAUGAAGUCACAAGGCAGAAAACCACUGUGUCAUCGGAAUGGAAGUAAAGAUGCCUCUGCAAUUCAAUCCUCAGCAGCAAAAAAUACAAGUGUUGUGACAAGAGGAAGUGCAAAUAAUUAAAUAACAAAAGAUCAAAUGA